rnacentral:lncRNA from 1 species
ACCGUUGAUUAUUGUUUACAUUUACGCUUCAUUGUUCUCAUCAAAUUUUGCUUUUUCAGAUUUUCUUUUUUGAAAACUUGACCUAUUAGAGGAUGCAGCAAGAUGAACAGUUUGGAUCGUUGAUAUUAUAUUCAGAGUUUUACGAUUAGUGAAAAUAUUGCUUGAUGUUUAUAAAGUUUCUACAAACUAUAUGACAUCGACUCAUAUUUCAGUUAACCAUAAAUAUCGAAACGUGAUAUCAAAGAUCUGAACCGUUCAUCUUCUUACAUCCGCCAGAUGAUCAUGUUUUCAAAAAAGAAAAUUUUAAAAAUGAAAUUCAGUAAGAAGAAUAAAGCGUAAAUGGCAAUCGACGGUUAAAUAUAAAUUUAAGGUUUAUGAAUUAUAGUGUUGGAUUUCGAAGCUGACCCCUUCAUGAAAGUUGUAAAGUUUGUCACUAUGAGUGAUUGUAUAUUUUUUAACAUUUUUUACACUUCUACAAUAAUUUUUAUUAAUUUUAUUAAUUUUUCCCUCAAAUAAAAAAUAUUAUUCAUGAAGGUUUGGAAGAUUUUAAAAAUCUAAACGAUAAUAUAAGUAUAACCAUUAUCUACUCGUGGAGGAAUAAUGAUGAAUCACGAGUGUUUACAUAUUCUUUCACAUUUUUCGUACUUGUAUGUAUGUAUUCUUAGUUCUUGCCUAUACAAAUAUUAUAAUAAGGAACUCUUAUAAUAAAAAUAAAUAAUGACUAAAACUUUUUUUUUAAACUUAUAUAGAAUAAUAAUACAAAACU